AUUGAACGCUGGCGGCAGGCCUAACACAUGCAAGUCGAACGGUAGCACAGAGGAGCUUGCUCCUUGGGUGACGAGUGGCGGACGGGUGAGUAAUGUCUGGGAAACUGCCCGAUGGAGGGGGAUAACUACUGGAAACGGUAGCUAAUACCGCAUAACGUCUUCGGACCAAAGUGGGGGACCUUCGGGCCUCACACCAUCGGAUGUGCCCAGAUGGGAUUAGCUAGUAGGUGGGGUAAUGGCUCACCUAGGCGACGAUCCCUAGCUGGUCUGAGAGGAUGACCAGCCACCCUGGAACGGAGACACGGUCCAGACUCCUACGGGAGGCAGCAGUGGGGAAUAUUGCACAAUGGGCGCAAGCCUGAUGUAGCCAUGCCGCGUGUAUGAAGAAGGCCUUCGGGUUGUAAGGUACUUUCAGCGGGGAGGAAGGCGUUAAGGUUAAUAACCUUGGCGAUUGACGUUACCCGCAGAAGAAGCACCGGCUAACUCCGUGCCAGCAGCCGCAGUAA
rnacentral:rRNA from 1 species